GGGGGAUAACAUUUGGAAACAGAUGCUAAUACCGCAUAAGAUUACAGUACCGCAUGAUACAGUGAUCAAAGGAGCAAUCCGCUGAAAGAUGGGCUCGCGUCCGAUUAGAUAGUUGGUGAGUUAACGGCUCACCAAGUCGACGAUCGGUAGCCGGACUGAGAGGUUGAACGGCCACAUUGGGACUGAGACACGGCCCAGACUCCUACGGGAGGCAGCAGUGGGGAAUAUUGCACAAUGGGCGAAAGCCUGAUGCAGCAACGCCGCGUGAGGGAAGACGGUUUUCGGAUUGUAAACCUCUGUUUUCGGUGACGAACAAAUGACGGUAACCGAGUAGGAAGCCACGGCUAACUACGUGCCAGCAGCCGCGGUAAUACGUAGGUGGCAAGCGUUAUCCGGAAUUACUGGGUGUAAAGGGAGCGCAGGCGGGAUAGCAAGUCAGCUGUGAAAACUAUGGGCUCAACCCAUAAACUGCAGUUGAAACUGUUAUUCUUGAGUGGAGUAGAGGCAAGCGGAAUUCCGAGUGUAGCGGUGAAAUGCGUAGAUAUUCGGAGGAACACCAGUGGCGAAGGCGGCUUGCUGGGCUCUAACUGACGCUGAGGCUCGAAAGUGUGGGGAGCAAACAGGAUUAGAUACCCUGGUAGUCCACACUGUAAACGAUGAUUGCUAGGUGUGGGGGGUCUGACCCCCUCCGUGCCGGAGUUAACGCAAUAAGCAAUCCACCUGGGGAGUAC
rnacentral:rRNA from 1 species